GUUGAACGCUGGCGGAAUGCUUUACACAUGCAAGUCGAACGGCAGCACGGGGGCAGCCCUGGUGGCGAGUGGCGAACGGGUGAGUAAUACAUCGGAACGUGCCCGGUCGUGGGGGAUAACGUAGCGAAAGUUACGCUAAUACCGCAUACGAUCUGAGGAUGAAAGCGGGGGACCUUCGGGCCUCGCGCGAUCGGAGCGGCCGAUGUCAGAUUAGGUAGUUGGUGGGGUAAAGGCCUACCAAGCCGACGAUCUGUAGCUGGUCUGAGAGGACGACCAGCCACACUGGGACUGAGACACGGCCCAGACUCCUACGGGAGGCAGCAGUGGGGAAUUUUGGACAAUGGGCGCAAGCCUGAUCCAGCCAUUCCGCGUGCAGGACGAAGGCCUUCGGGUUGUAAACUGCUUUUGUACGGAACGAAAAGGCUCUGGCUAAUACCUGGGGCUCAUGACGGUACCGUAAGAAUAAGCACCGGCUAACUACGUG
rnacentral:rRNA from 1 species